AUGGCGUUGAGUGGAUGGCAUGGAGGAGUUGAUUUUUUAAUAUGUUUGAUUUUUCAAUUAAAUGAUGUCCUAAAAACAUUAGUUGAGGCCAGAUUUUUUAACACGUUAGUUGAGAUGUCCUUAAUAAAGAUUAAAUAUGUCCUUAACUAAAAAAAUUAGCAGAUUUGAACUAAUUCUAAAAAUUUAGCAGAGCUAAACUAAUUCACUAAUGUUUUUAUUAGUUAAAAAAUCUUGUUAUUAUUUCAAGAUGAACUAAAGAUCUCAACUAAUUCACUCGUGAUGAAAGAUUAAAUAAAGAUUUUUUAGUUCAUCUCAACCCUGGCAGAUUUUUUUCAUUCUGCUAAAUGAUGUCCUAAAAACAUUAGUUCAUCUCAAAUAAAAACAUUGGCUAACUAAUAAUUAUGCCUGAUUUUUUAACACGUGUUUGAUUAAUAUGCCUGAUUUUUUCAAUGAUCCCUGUUUUUUUCAUUAGUAAUAAUUAUUAACAUUGGCUAAUACUAUGGGUGCCAUUUUACAAUGAUCCCUGAUUUUUCCAUUUGUUUAUUUUGAUUUUAAUUUAAAAAAAUUAUGCAAGUUUAUUAAACAAAAUCUACUAAUUCCUAGAAGAUCACUAAUACUGAAAUUCGUGCGAGUGAAUCUUGUUACCGCCGGUGACCGGGGAGCAGUUCUCUAUCUUCUUCGUGGCGUUGUACCCGACCUCCGACGAAAGAAGGGAGAUGGAGGUGGGGAGCACGGAGUUAAAUCCUAUCGUGCUCUCUGAUGGUGAAGAGGAGAUGCCGAUGGAAAGUGAUCCGGACAUGGACAUCCCGGUGCAGCAGACUGUGCUGGUUCAUAGGGGACCGCGUAUAACUGGCAACGAGGAGUAUGAUAAGCACUGUGUUUGGGGAAACAAUCUAGUACUCAAUGAAGACCAAUGCAAGGCCCUCACAAAUUUGGUUCGUCAGUUCCCAGGAAAACCAUUCAAGUACUAUGUGUACAGGAUGAGCAAAUCUUCUGUCAUUUAAAAAAACUGCAAAAUGGAAUUUUCCGCAAAGUUUACACAGAGGUACCUCAAGAAGUACCUGGAUGAUGCAAUUGAGCUACCAGUCCAAUGUGCGGGAUAUCAAAAGUCUUACAAUGUCAAGAUGAGGCUGGGACUAGAUCUAAAGAGGGCAAUGCUGACAAGUGGCUGGGCGAAGGCUGUAAGGAGGUUCGGCUUAGAAGAAGGUUGCGUCUACAUCUUUUGCUUCUCUGUCGAUAAGAAUGGCCAUAACCCUUGGCUUCUCAUCGACCCCUGGAAGCAUGAAGACGGUGCCAACGGUACCUGAACCCAUGAAGACGGUGGCAACGGUACCAGUGGUAGCAUUUUGGUUUGGUGGUAGCAUUUCUCAUAGCACUGUUGUGCUAGUUUGAAAUGUUGGACUUCAGUAAUCUAGUUAAGUAAUGGACUGUUAAGUAAUGGACUGCUAAGUACGGACUAUUAAGUGACUGUUAAGUACUGCUAAGUAUGGACUAUUAGAAAUGAACUGCUAUGUUUC